AGUGAACGCUGGCGGCGUGCUUAACACAUGCAAGUCGAACGGGUUUCCGCAGUGUAUCGCGGAAAUUAGUGGCAGACGGGUGAGUAUCACAUAGGUCAUUUACCCCUGAGAGGAAAAUAACCCCGAGAAAUCGGGGCUAAUGUUCCAUAAGACCACGGUCUUUCCUACGAAAGGCUGGGGCCAAAGCUCCGCAAGGGGCGCUUGGGGAUGAGCCUGUGUCCUAUCAGCUAGUGGUGAGGUAACGGCCCACCAAGGCGUGGACGGGUAGCCGGCCUGAGAGGGUGUUCGGUCACACUGGGACUGAGAUACGGCCCAGACUCCUACGGGAGGCAGCAGUGGGGG
rnacentral:rRNA from 1 species